rnacentral:sRNA from 1 species
AAUGAUUAACUACCAAAAUUACAAAUUAAAUUAUAGGUGGUUUGAUUAUUCCCUGAUAUUAGUUGGAAGACAUUUCAAUUUCGGAUUAGACAGUGUGGUGGCCCAAUUUUACAUGGAUCGAGAGAAGUUCUGAUAAGAUCCUAGUGAGGAAUGAAUCCCAAUUUCGGCACUUGGAAGAUCUGGAGUGGAUAUUCUCGAAAUAGAGACGACACACGACUCAAAGACGAGAUGAUGGAUUGAAUGACGCCACAAAAGGAUGCGGAAAAGCCUUUUGAUAAGUCGAGAAAGAUCAAAAUUCGGCAUACGAAAAUGGACCCAUGAUCUAUUUUUAAGAGAGAGUUUUUGAUAAAAAGAUAGAUGAAUUCUCAUAAGAGAUUACAAGAGGUUUAUAAAGAAGAAGGAAGUCUUGGAACAAACUCACAAGACUACCUUGGAAAAUAAAAAGAAAUAAAGACUAGUUUGAAAGUUUAAAAAUAACCCUUCCACUUCUUGGCUCCAAAAUGACUCUUGAAAUGCUAUUUUCGUCACUCCUCUUGACCAGCAAAUUACCCACUUGGUUUGGGCUUUUCUUGGGUUUGUGAUGGUCAUAAAAUUGGCUGGACUUCAUAUAUAUUCCAUUGGGCCAACUUCUGAAUGUUAUACCAUAGUUUGGAUCAUCAAAUGGGUGAUUUGAAUGUGAAUCAUUUGCCUCAUUAAAAAGAAAACCCAUUGGGACAAAACUUGACAAGGGAAAAAGAGUACAAAUGAGACACAUGCCCAUUUGAUGAUCAUGUAUCAAAACCAAUGAGGUUAAGAUAACAUCUUUCCCAUACUCUUUCUCCGGUAUAAGUUCAUUUUCUGCUUCAAAAUGCUCCUCAGGUUUAAGUUGCUCCUCUGCUUCAAGUUCUUCUUCGGCUACAAGCUCUUGAUCAAAUUCCAAGUCCUUUGUGCUUUCCAUGAUCACAUCAAGUCCACUCUGUACUAUUUCGGUGCGUUCUUACUAAAACUAAUCGGAUCACCUGAUAGGUUAAAAAAAUAAAAUUACAAACUAGAUUAGCUGGCUAGACCGUCUAAGCCAAUUCAUAACAUUCAUAAUUGCAACGCAAUCUUCGUCUUGCUUUUCAUAGUUAAACAUGCGCAUCCACAAAAUAUUUAGGUAUAUUAACGUACGAUAAUCAUGCACAUGUGUAUCUGUAUGGACCAGGAUGUAUACUCGAUAU